rnacentral:lncRNA from 1 species
GUUUCCAAAGACCUUCCUAAACACACAGCCAGGGGAAGGAACAGGACCUGCUGCUCCAAUUCCCUCGGCUCCCAACGCCCCUCAAGUGUUUGCACAGGAAAAUGGUAGCGUAGGACACCAGGCGGGCAGGAAGCCGCAGGAAUCUCAGAAGCUGCUUUCUGGAUUUGACCUCAGGCAAUUAAAAAAUAGCAAAAUAGAUGGAAAACUGCAGCAAAUCAAGCCGGGAGCUGGGGCCUGGGCAGUUCAUGAUCUGGCUGGGUUCCCCGCUCAGGCAGUUCACGCGCACAGACCGCCCCCUGGAAGAACUGCGGCUGGAAUGAGCAAUUCUCCUGAGAAAGCAAAGACACGGACUCACAAGGGAGUUCUGGGCAGAAACGGAGACGGAGAUUGGAGUGAAGCGUCCACAAGCCAAGGAGUGCCAAGGAGUGCCAAAGAUUGCCAGCAACCCCCAGACGCUGGAGGAGGCCGGGAAGGAGCCUCCCCAGGAGCCUUUGGAGGGAGCAGGGCCCUGCUGACACCUCGAUGUCAGACACCUGGCCUCCAGGACGGUGAGAGCGGGUUCUGUUGUUGCGAGCCACCCAGCUCUUGGCACUUGGUUACGCGGGUCACAGGACACCAGUAGAGCCAUAUCUACUCAUUCAUUUCAGAAACGUUGUGCCAGUACGUACCAGGCACUUUCAAAGACACCGGGGAUACGGAAAUAAAGAAUAAAUGGGAUCCUUGCUCUCAGUGGAGUUUCCAUUCUAGUAGAGGAAGAUGAGCAAAAAUAAAUAAAUGAUAACUUCUGUCUGGGCGCGAUGGCUCACAUCUGUAAUCUCAGCACUUUGGGAAGCUGAGGCGUGCAGAUUACCUGAGGUCAGGAGUGCGGGACCAGCCUGGCCAACA